ensembl:lncRNA
CAGGUUUCCCAAAUGAAACCCCACAGCACACAGCUUGGUCUACGUGAAAAUGUAGGACCAGACAUCUUACAAGCAGGAUGCUGAGGUGUUGAUGCCAGAGCCAGGAAACCAAGCACAGAAUGAAAAUGCCAAUGGAGCCACGGAGAGGAUCAGGAAGGUGCCAAAGCAGGUGAGCAGUAUCAGAGACAGGUCUGGAUGAAGGCAGCAUGAGAGAGAUCAGGAUACAAAGUGAACGCUGUAGGUCCCCAUGUGACACCUAGAAGCCCUCGCUAUGCUGUACAUCCCACUGACAGAGUCCCUGGC